GAUGAAGAACGUAGCGAAAUGCGAUAAGUAAUGCGAAUUGCAGAAUUCAGUGAAUCAUCGAAUCUUUGAACGCACAUUGCGCCCGCCAGUAUUCUGGCGGGCAUGCCUGUCUGAGCGUCGUUUCGACCCUCGCGCCCGGCUUCUGUCGGGGGCGGUGUUGGGGAUCGGCCACACCCUUCAGUGGGAGGCCGGCCCCUAAAUUCAGUGGCGACCACGCUGUAGCCUCCCCUGCGUAGUACUAAAGCCACCUCGCAGGCGGAGAGCGGUGCGGCCCGCCGUAAAACCCCCCAACUUUUACAAGGUCGACCUCAGAUCAGGUAGGAAUACCCGCUGAACUUAAGCAUAUCAAUAAGCGGAGGA
rnacentral:misc_RNA from 1 species